AUCCAGUUUUUCCCGCAACCAACAAGGUCAAAGGUCACAGCACCCAAACAAGAGAUGGAGAAAUCCUAGAUGUGUAGGUGAAGUGACAGGAAGGAGGACGGAAUGUAAAAGGAGGAAAAAUCUGGAUUUCAACAUUUGAAGGAGGACGUUGGAAAACAACAAAACAAAAUCUGGAGAGGAGUGAGAAAGACAGCCCGCUGAUAAAAUCAUUAUGUCGUGGUCGGGAUGUCGUCUGACAAAAUCGACAUAAAUCAGUGCCACAAAACCAGCUCCACAAAGAAAUGGUUUUCCCAGUUUGGUGUGGGAGAACUUGACCGGUCAGCACAGAGUCCUGACUUUAACCACAUCCAACACCUUUGGGAUGAACUGAAGACCGACUGUGAGCUAGACCUGAUCACCCACAUCAGUGCUGGACCUCACUGAUGCUCUGGUGUCUGAAUGUGACCUAAUCUCUGCAGCAGAUUCAACAUCUGAUGGAAGCUGCUAAGCACAUUAAUGGACAUGGUGUCACAAUCAAAUGUUACGCAGUCACAUAUGGGGGAAUGUAAGCUGUCUACAUACCAUAUUGGCCCAAAUAUGUUUUUUUUUUUCCUGUAUAUUACAUUUGAAAAAGUGGGGUCAUAUUAUAUUUAAGGACUAAUGGUAAACUGUACAUGGUCUGGAAUUAUAAAGUGCUUUU